UACAGAGGGCGCGAGCGUUGUCCGGAAUCACUGGGCGUAAAGGGCGCGUAGGUGGCCACCAUAAGGCCGCGGUGAAAGUUCGGGGCUCAACCCCGGAUCGGCCGCGGCGACUGUGGGGCUCGGGUACUGUAGAGGCAGAUGGAAUUCCCGGGUGUAGCGGUGGAAUGCGUAGAGAUCCGGAAGAACACCAGUGGCGAAGGCGGUCUGCUGGGCAGUGGGCUCGAAAGGGCCCUUUAACCGACACUGAGGCGCGACAGCGUGGGGAGCAAACAGG
rnacentral:rRNA from 1 species